AACUCUACCAGCGUUGUUGUGUCCGGCGACCGGGUCAUCGUGUUAUGCUAAACCGUACCGAACCGGGCCGCUGGGUGGAAAACAUGGCGAAAAAGUGUCAAGUGGGGACCAGA